GGCUCAGAUGAAACGCUGGCGGCAUGCUUUACACAUGCAAGUCGAACGGCAGCAUGCUCUUCGGAGUGAUGGCGAGUGGCGAACGGGUGAGUAAUGCAUCGGAACGUACCGUGUAAUGGGGGAUAACAUAGCGAAAGUUGUGCUAAUACCGCAUACGUCCUAAGGGAGAAAGCAGGGGACCGAAAGGCCUUGCGUUAUACGAGCGGCCGAUGUCCGAUUAGCUAGUUGGUGAGGUAAAGGCUCACCAAGGCGACGAUCGGUAGCGGGUCUGAGAGGACGAUCCGCCACACUGGAACUGAGACACGGUCCAGACUCCUACGGGAGGCAGCAGUGGGGAAUUUUGGACAAUGGGCGCAAGCCUGAUCCAGCAAUGCCGCGUGAGUGAAGAAGGCCCUUGGGUUGUAAAGCUCUUUCGGCCGGGAAGAAGGAAGGGUUGCUAAUACCAGCUCUGACAGACGGUACCGGCAUAAGAAGCACCGGCUAACUACGUGCCAGCAGCCGCGGUAAUACGUAGGGUGCAAGCGUUAAUCGGAAUUACUGGGCGUAAAGGGUGUGUAGGCGGUUUGUUAAGUCUGAUGUGAAAUCCCCGAGCUCAACUUGGGAACUGCGUUGGAUACUGGCAAACUAGAGUAUGUAAGAGGGGGGUAGAAUUCCACGUGUAGCAGUGAAAUGCGUAGAGAUGUGGAGGAAUACCGAUGGCGAAGGCAGCCCCCUGGGACAAUACUGACGCUGAGGCACGAAAGCGUGGGGAGCAAACAGGAUUAGAUACCCUGGUAGUCCACGCCCUAAACGAUGUCAACUAGUUGUUGGAACCCUUGUGGUUUCAGUAACGCAGCUAACGCAUGAAGUUGACCGCCUGGGGAGUACGGUCGCAAGAUUAAAACU
rnacentral:rRNA from 1 species